CCCCGUGGGAGCGUGUCAGGAGCGGGCGUGAAUAAACAGCUCCGGUGUUCAUGCCGAGAAAAUAAUGCCAGAUCCUCAGCAGGCAUGGCAUGUUCAGAUUUAAUGUGAUCUGCUAACAGCAGCUCAGUGUGAGAGAGGAAAGAUAGCGAGCCGCUACUGCAGCCCUUCUACAUUUAAAGUAUGAAGAGACCUCUAUGAAACAAAUUUGGAUUUUUUUUAGGACAACUUGCAUAUGUUAAACCUCAUAUCAGGACUUUUCAGGGCCGCUUGACAUGCCGUGAUUAUGAUGAUUUGAUGAGGGGCUUGGCACAGGCACGAGCAUUAGCAUUGCCCUCACUUUGCUCUGAUACAGUACUUCUCUGGUUCUCUGAUUACCUCUUUCUGCUUUGUGGGAAGUGAAUGAUGUCCACCUCGCUUUAAAAAAAAAAAAAUUAUCUCCCUUUUCUUCUCUUACUCACCGCUUCGAUUUUUCCUCAGCCUUGUCCACACUAUCAUGACUGUUUUAAAACCGAGACAGAGAGAAGCAUCAAGAUGGUUGAGGAUAAAGUUCAGUCGUGCCAGGUCUCUUAAAAACCUACC